rnacentral:misc_RNA from 1 species
UACGGAGGGUGCAAGCGUUAAUCGGAAUUACUGGGCGUAAAGGGCGCGUAGGCGGAUAUGCCAGUCAGGGGUGAAAUCCCGGGGCUCAACCUCGGAACUGCCUUUGAUACUGCAUGUCUUGAGUACGGGAGAGGUGAGCGGAAUACCCAGUGUAGAGGUGAAAUUCGUAGAUAUUGGGUAGAACACCGGUGGCGAAGGCGGCUCACUGGCCCGGUACUGACGCUGAGGCGCGAAAGCGUGGGGAGCAAACAGG